rnacentral:rRNA from 1 species
GAUGAACGCUGGCGGCGUGCUUAACACAUGCAAGUCGAACGAAGCACUUACGACAGAACUUUUCGGAGGGAAGAUGUUUGUGACUGAGUGGCGGACGGGUGAGUAACGCGUGGGUAACCUGCCUUGCAGAGGGGGACAACAGUUGGAAACGACUGCUAAUACCGCAUAAUAGAUCAAGACCGCAUGAUCAUGAUCUUAAAGAUUUAUCGCUGCAAGAUGGACCCGCGUCUGAUUAGCUAGUUGGUGGGGUAACGGCCUACCAAGGCAACGAUCAGUAGCCGGCUUGAGAGAGUGAACGGCCACAUUGGGACUGAGACACGGCCCAGACUCCUACGGGAGGCAGCAGUGGGGAAUAUUGCACAAUGGGGGAAACCCUGAUGCAGCGACGCCGCGUGAGUGAAGAAGUAUUUCGGUAUGUAAAGCUCUAUCAGCAGGGAAGAUAA